AAAAAAAAAUUACUACUAAGAGGUUUUGGAAGUGGUCCUUCAGCGACAGAUCAGUAUAGAAAAAUCAGUAAAACUUCCUGGAAUUAAUAUAUUUUGUGUUGACUGUAGUGAAGUUUUUAUAUCUUCUAUUACUGAACAUAGUGCUGCUUCCAAAGUGGGUAUUCAAGUCAGAGUUCAGCUCUAAAUGUUAGUGGAAUAAACAUGAGAUGAGCAACAUAUCAGUUAGAUGAAAAUAUUUUACAGCUAUGUGGAAACUCAGUUACAAUGCUGGUACAAUGCAGCCCAGAUAAAUACGAAGAGCUACAACGCACCAAAAUUACAAUUAGCAGCCGUUCAAAAACUCCAACACCAUGCAAUUUACCUACUGUUAAAAGAAAGUUUGUAUAAUAUGCUUCAAUUAUAGCUCAUGGAUUGGCUUCACUAACUCGACGAAAGAGUGAUCAAAAUACAGAUAGUAGAAGUUUAAUAGCAUAUGAACCACAGUAUUUUAUUAUGGAUACAAGGAAGUGUAGUAACUUAGGAAUAAGCCUAGUUGGAGGAAAUGCUGUUAGAAUAUUAAUUGUACAUGGUGUUAACUUAAAUUCAUUGGCUUAUAACGCAGGUUUAUGAACUGGUGAUUGUAUACUUGAAUGUAAUGGAACAGAUUUAAGAGAAGCAACUGCUGAAGAAGCCGCUUUUGAAUUAGCCAAGCCAGCUGAAAAUGUCACAGUUCUAGCAAAAUAUUUAAUUGAUAGCAAGUAGUAAAAUUAUUUAAAAAUUAUAAUUA